UUUGGCGAGCAAAGGUAUCGUGUUUCAGGUACGAAUUUAACAUGAAACUAUAUAUACCUAUGAUAAAAGUCGAUAUAUACAUAUGUACAAGUGCUGUAAACAAAGCUACGCGAAUCUACAUUUAUAAAUUUGAAUUUCUCAUCAUUUUCGUGAGCUCAUUAUUCCGCGGGGGGGCGCUGCUGAUUUUCAGUAACCGUUAAUUCAAGCGCAACGGUCGCGCGCGCACGAAGAGCUCGGUCGGCGAAUAAAUCGGGUUUUCGGGAACAAAAAUGUGAUUGCCUCGCGCUGAGGAAACGUGUGUCGAGUGAAUAAGUGCUUAUCCGCGCUUCCGCGUGCCGAGACAAAGUGUCGUGCGUGUAAUUUGUCGCCCAGCGGCAACGAGGAAGAAAGGAGACGAGCGACGAUCGGAUCGAGACGGAUCGCGGCGGGGGAGGACAUGUCGGCAGCGGCGGCAGCAAUAAGAAGGUUCUCUCAACCUAGUUUAUGUAGUCAACUCCGCUAUCAAUUGAUUAAUUCGACGAAAGUGGCACUGCAAAGUAAUCCCGAAGACGCUUUUGUUUACAUUCAGCGAGUAUACUACUAGUUUGUAGCGGAUAAAUAAAGAAAAUUUUCAGAUGUCGAAAAUAAAA